rnacentral:rRNA from 1 species
UUGGAGAUUUGAUCCUGGCUCAGGAUGAACGCUGGCGGCGUGCUUAACACAUGCAAGUCGAACGAUGAAGCCCAGCUUGCUGGGUGGAUUAGUGGCGAACGGGUGAGUAACACGUGAGUAACCUGCCCUUAACUCUGGGAUAAGCCUGGGAAACUGGGUCUAAUACCGGAUAGGAGCGCCCUCACCGCAUGGUGGGUGUUGGAAAGAUUUAUCGGUUUUGGAUGGACUCGCGGCCUAUCAGCUUGUUGGUGAGGUAAUGGCUCACCAAGGCGACGACGGGUAGCCGGCCUGAGAGGGUGACCGGCCACACUGGGACUGAGACACGGCCCAGACUCCUACGGGAGGCAGCAGUGGGGAAUAUUGCACAAUGGGCGCAAAGCCUGAUGCAGCGACGCCGCGUGAGGAAUGACGGCCUUCGGGUUGUAAACCUCUUUCAGUAGGGAAGAAGCGAAAGUGACGGUACCUGCAGAAGAAGCACCGGCUAACUACGUGCCAGCAGCCGCGGUAAUA